rnacentral:rRNA from 1 species
UAGGGAAUCUUCGGCAAUGGACGAAAGUCUGACCGCGCAACGCCGCGUGAGUGAAGAAGGUUUUCGGAUCGUAAAAUUCUGUUGUUAGAGAUGAACAAGGACGUUAGUAACUGAACGUCCCCUGACGGUAUCUAACCAGAAAGCCACGGCUAACUACGUGCCAGCUGCCGCGGUAAUACGUAGGUGGCAAGCGUUGUCCGGAUUUAUUGGGCGUAAAGCGAGCGCAGGCGGUUUCUUAAGUCUGAUGUGAAAGCCCCCGGCUCAACCGGUGAGGGUCAUUGGAAACUGGGAGACUUGAGUGCAGAAGAGGAGAGUGGAAUUCCAUGUGUAGCGGUGAAAUGCGUGGAUAUAUGGAGGAACACCAGUGGCGAAGGCGGCUCUCUGGUCUGUAACUGACGCUGAGGCUCGAAAGCGUGGGGAGCAAACAGG